ACAACCAUCAAGCCUGGCUUGCCGUUGAGCCCACCUGUAAUAGGGUCGGUUCGAAAGACAGUGGCAGGGUGGACGGACCCUAGAUGCAACGAGCUUUUUAACAGCACGCAUUGAUGUGGCCGGUCACCCUCGUUCCUCACCUAUAAUUUUAUCAA
rnacentral:misc_RNA from 1 species